rnacentral:lncRNA from 1 species
GAUUGUUGAUGAAACAGUAAUCAUAUUCAGGCUCCAGUAGGAGAGAAGGCUUUGCCUGGGGGUAGCACCCUGCGGGAUUCAGAACAGGUUUACCAGAAUCCUGGCAAGCAGUGACCCUUUAGGGGUUUGGAGCUGAAGAAAGUGCCUGGGUUAGAGUGAGUGCUGUGGGUUUUAUGGAGCACGUUUGCAGGAGUCCUCUCCCUAGGUUGCAGGAUUGUAAAGAAGGAACUCUUUGUCUUCCGCAGUUUCCAGCUGGUCCUGAAGACAAAGGCCUUCCACCAAGGACGUCUGGUGUGGCCGAGGCGCUGGAGACCCCCUGUUAAGGGCAGCCAGGGACCCCAGCCCACUCCAGGGAGGAGCAGGGAGCUUCGGACCAAGUCCAGGAAACAAAGUGGCUGGUUCCCCUUGCCUGUGUUUGCAGACGCGGCCGCUGUGGCCAUUUUCAUUUUUAUGUCAUCAAAUGCAAAAGAGCCGCGAAUGCCAGGGACUAGAGCGGCUGAGACAAAGCCUCGCGACAGAUGCAUCAGUCCUCGGAGGACCUGAGCGGGUCCCCAGCCCCGCGAGCCACCCGAACCCGGGGCUGAGGACCAGGUCCACCGCGCGCCCUCAGCGCCCUGGGUGGCUCGGCGAAUUUGCCACUGGCUCCUGCCCUUCGGAUUCCAGUGAUAGGUUCAAUGCAAGUGACACCACACCCCGUCCUGCUCUACGGCCAGUCCAAGGAAACCACCGCAAUACCCAAGAAGAGAGGAGAGUAAGAGGACGCAAACACGCGUGUAACACUACAAAUUCCACACCCAGGAACAACUGA